CGGGGGAGGCCGGAUCUUGGGCUGUGUCCCGGCGCCCUGUGCUCCGGGGCCUGCGCUGUUGGAUUCGCGCUCCCGCCCCGCAGCCCCCU
rnacentral:pre_miRNA from 1 species